rnacentral:sRNA from 1 species
CACCAGCCAGUGCCUGUUCUCUGCCUUUUCUCGAACUGUGUUCCUUCCCCGUCACUAAAAACCGUCACCUCUCUUCAUCCAGGCUACAGGGCAAGUUCCGAGUCAGAGCAAGUUUUUGUUACGUAUUCCGCAUACAAGAUGAAAAGAAACACCCAUGAUUCUUCAGGUCGAGGGUUGAGUGGGAGAACAGAGGUGGAACUCGGGUAUUCCUGCUAUACCUGAUGCCAUGGAAAUGGCUGCUCAUACACAUCUGGAAGUCUCCCUUUCUAGAGUAGCUUAUAUCCAGGACAGCAGUAACUCAGGAUGCUCAAGGGUUCUCUGGAAAACUGGAAUAGAGCCUAUCGACAUAGUCCUUACUGUCCUGGAACUCACAGAAAUCCAGCUGCCUCAGCUUUCCGAGUGCUGAGAUAAAAGGUGUGUACCACGACAUCACCCAAGGAUACUACAAAAUUUUUAAAUGCAUUCACUAAAGGGUAAAUAUAAGUAAGCUAGCCUCAGAGAGAGAAGAGGAAGAAAUAAAAAGUCUUUUGUCCAUAGAAA